ACAAUUGGAGAUGGGAGUUGUUUUAGGUGAAACCCUGCAAUUGCAGCAGCAUGCUCUCUACUACCAUUUGUCGGAUCGACUCGUGUAGGAUCCUCGUGUUUUGUCGAGGAAAACUUGUGCAGAUCGACUCGUGUAGAUCCUCAUUUUGCUUGUAAACAUUAAAUUUUGACGACUAUUGAAAUAUUUUGCCUGAUGCCAUGCCUUCUAGUCGGCAAAUAAUGACAUUUAAUAUUUAAAGAGAAAAGAAAAAGAAAGUCAAAAUGACUUGAUACUGCUUCUUCUUCUUCUUCUUCCAUAGUUGAAUGUUUCAGUCGGAUUGAUAUCAUUGGAACAGAAUCAGCCGAACCCAACUAGUCCAUGAUACUAUCCACCAAACCAACUGCGACAAGUGACGACUUCAGCUUUAGACACCUCACUUUGUGACUAGGUGACCUUCCUCCUACUACAUCAUCCAUUUCCUCGAUCCAAAACUAAACAGAGGAAAGACGGGCACUGUUUCGGGUAAUAAAGAUUGUUACUUUACUUACUUCAGAUGGAGAGAGAGUAGUUUUCAAUUCUGUCGAUUGUUUGAUUUCCGAGGAUAGGAGAUGAUGAUGAUGUUGUUGCCUUUGAGUUGCAUUCUAAGGUGGGACCAGUUCAUUUUUUAUGUUUUUUUGGAAUUUUUCUUUUCUUGAUUUGCAGAUGAUCCAGACAUUUAGUUUGAUUAUACUUUUGUGUAUACAGAAGUUUCUCAAAUUAGAAAGUUUUUCACUUCAAAUUCAAUCUUUAUUUUCACUUGCAAGUGAAGAUGUUUAUACUGAAUGGUCCAUCUAGCAAAUUGUAUAGUUCAGGAUUUGGUACUGCUAGUUUAAUACAGUGUAGUUCAAGUAUCAGAUGCCCAGCCCUUAAAAGUUAGUGUAGUCUUUAAUCUUCGUACAGGUUUUGUUCAUUGAUUUUAAGUCAUUUUGUUUUGGGGCUCUUGAAAAGUUUUCCUAAAGAUCUGGUGUCUCUAAAAAGGGCCCAAGUGUUGUGCUUCUGCAUGGCUCGACCUAAUCUAUCAAUGACUCUUGUUCAACAGGUUCACUUCUAUGUUGAGGAUAGAUGAAGUUUUAAUGUUUUCCUUGGACAAUGUGGAGUACGGUGAAUUCAUUUCCUGAUAUCUUCGUAGUCAGGAUUCUUGGGGAAGUUUACUACUAUGAAUGUAUUGAAAGAGAAUAUUCAUUACGUUUGUGGUUCCAGAAUUAUAUAUUAUGAUCGUAGUCCAAUGCUAGUUCACCAUAUGAUCUCUAUGCCUUACCUGUAUAGGUGUGAGGUGUUUUCAUGCAUUAAUCUAAAUUUGUUGUUUGUGUGUGUGCACCAAUUUGUUCAGGUCAACCGCUAUAUAGAGUGGCAUCUUGUUGUACUGGUUUUAUGGGCCUUGGCUAAUGCUGGUAAGAUUUCAGAGGCUUAAGAGUUGCUCAAGGGUUUGAAGUCCAGGUGAGAAUCUUGCCACUCUAAACCACACCUUAUUUGAUUUUAGAAAAUUGAUCUAAAUGGUAUACGAACUUUUGCUUCUUAUAAACUUUAGUAUCUCAAGUUUCAAAAAUAUCAUAAAGGUAUAUGAAGUUUUAACCUCGACUAAACUUUAGUACCUAGCGCCGUUAGAUCUGUUACGUCAUCUGCCAGCUGGCAUUGCAUAAUGUAAAAAUGCUAAUUUACCCUCUCUCUUUUUCCUUCUCUUUCUUCCUCAGAUAAUACAAAAUGAUUAUUUUUUUUUCUUAAAAAAAAAAAAGCAGAACCUCAGACCUUGGAGUUAGCUAGCUGACCGUCAAGGGCCAUGCCCUCCGUGACCGAUGCCAGCUUCUGUAGAUUCAACCCGAUGAAAUAGAAAUUGGGGCAUCAGUUCCGCGGGCAAACAACUCUUUAGGAGCUGCGGCGGCGGUGGAGGCGGUGGCGGAGUGGAAGAGUGAGAAUGAAGACGCCAUUGUUGAUGAUGGUGGUGGUGCCGAAUCAAAAAUCCGCCGAAAUAGACUUUCCUUUUUCUGCUCACCCAAUAUCCCAGUACGCCGACACCUUUUUCAACAAACCCACUACCUCUUCUCAUCUUAAUCAUCAAUCCCACAUGGUUCCUCCCUGCUCAGACACAGAGCAAUAGGCAAAAAGGAAGCAAAGCAAAAAAAANAAANNNNNNNNNNNNNNNNNNNNAUAUAGAGAGAGACCCAGAAUCCUUGAUAAUUGAAGGCGCUUGGUAUCAAUGGUGGUAAUGAGGCACAAAAAUAGAGCAGAAAUGGUUAUUAAGAAAAAAAUUAAAAACUAAAAUAAAGCUGAAAAUACGGAUGUGCUCAUAAAAAAUUGACAGGUAACAGACGAUAUAACAGAGAUAACGGCAUUAGUACUAAAGUUUAGUCGAGGUCAGAACUUCAUAUACUUUUCUGAUAUUUUCGAAAUUUGAGAUACUAAAAUUUAUAAAGAGUAAAAGUUUGUAUACCGUUUGGAUCAAUUUCUCUUGAUUUUAUGUGAAUGCUUAUUAAUAAUAUUCCUUCUGUAGAGUGUUUUUAUGAACAAUAGAGUUAUGCUAUUACUUUUACCCUGAACUUCUUCCCCAUAACUAUCAAGAAAGAAAGAGUUAUUCAUUGAUCCAGUGGUUUGGGGAUUUACGUUCAGUCUUUCCACUUUACAACGUAUUCUACAUUCAACAAAUUUUAUUGUGGUUUCCUAUUGAAGUUGUAUGUUUGUUUAACCGUAUCUUUGUUAACAGCUUGCAGAGGCCUUGUAAGAGUAUGGGAGGAGUAACGAAAAACAUGCAAUGGAUCAAUUGUUAGGUCCUAAUUUUGAUGCUGAUAACUGUAUGACAAUUGGAGCAUCUGGUGAACAUCUGGACGUAUUCAAUAUAUGAAGUUUAGUACUGUAUGUUCCUUAACAAUGGACAAGCUACAAAAGGUAUGAUACAAGUCAUCCUCCCAGCAUCAAACUUCCUAGAGAUUUUCUUCUGACUUUGUCUAAUUUUAGCAAUUGAGGUGAUUUAGAAGUAGAUCAAAGCAAGAGACGGGGUCCCUUUCCUUUGGCGCCUCCUGGUAUAUAUCUUAAUGAUCUUUUAGAUUUAUAACUACAAAUUGCAUAUGAGCAAUUGAAGUGCUUUCCGCUAGAAAACAAUAAUGCAUAUAAAGAGGAGAGCCUAUUCCAUGCACGACUCGUGCAGCUGCAUCAGGACGCCGGAUUACGAAUGGCCUUUUUUCUUUUCCUUUCUCAUCUCUCAUCUCCCUUGAUUACGAAUCCGGAUCCUCUUCUCAUAUCUCCUCAUAAAUUAAUCUCAGCCUUUUAUUUUCAACCAGUUAACAUUAAACCCUAUUUCACAUCUACCCAAACUUAUCUCUCUCUCUUCUCCUCAAAAUAUCAUAUCGGGCUGUUAAAAACCAAACAACGCUCUCUCUCUCUCUCUCUCUCUCNCUUCCUCGUCGCAUCACUCUGCCNCCUCCNCCGGCGACGCCUCCACGUCCUCCGGUUACGCUGGCACGUCCUCUCUCUCUCUCUCUCUCUCCACGACGUCCUCCACCAUAUCCCAAGCUUCAAACUUUUCACUACUGGGUUUGAGGUUCGAUCUCCACCUUGGGUUUUAGUUUGGCUUGUUUUUCUUCCAUUUGAAUUAUGGUUUAUGUGAUUUCUGCUACUGGGUUUUCUUCCAUUUGAAUUCUAGGGAUUGAAGUUGGAUUGUUUCUGGUGCACUGUAAAUUGGAUUGGCUGCUGGUUUCUCUGUGGUAACGUCUUCUGAUCAAUCUUGUGGAGAAAUGCAUUCCUUGUGGUAAUGCAUGUAUAACCCCAAGCCCUCCUGUUAUAUAGUCUUGUUGGCAAGACAUUGCUUGUAGUCAUAUGUCUGUGUAAUAAUCUUGUUGGCAAGGUCCAGGUACUUCUGAAUAACCCCAAGACUAUAUAACAGGAGGGCUUGAGACAAUGGUGAAUUGAACACUAUCUACGUAGCACCUUCCAUCUUUUCAAACACUUUUGCUAAACCAAAAGGACUCCUGUUUUGAGAGCACUUGCACACCCAUUGUCCUUUGGCUGCUAAGGACUGAUACAUUGAACAACCAGUUCAUAUUCAAUUCACCAUUGUCUGUUUUUGGCUUUACCUUCUUGGAUUACACAAUAAUUCUUAUGAUACUAAUUUCUGUAUAAGUUUAAUAAUCUCUAUGCUGCAUCUUUUUUAAUCAAAAUGCAGGGAGUUGCCAUGGCCGAUGCUCUGCGUCAGGUUUCUGCGUAUUGCAUUGAACUUAGAUUCCUAGAAUCCCUUAACUAAGAGAUUCUUUUUCUUUUCUUUUUUUUUUUGGGUAUAAUUUGAUCAUAUCCUAUCAAUUCUGAAACAAAGCAGGGCAAGUAUAAAGCCAUUGCAGUUUGUUGGGUUCUUGGACUAGGGACUCUAUUUCGUGGAACAGUAUAGUACGUGACUAUAGCAGAUUACUAUUAUAAUCUUUUUCCGGUGAGCACAUUCAUCAUGUUGUGUUCUUUAUGGAACUGAGUCACAACUUACUAGACCGUUCUGUUUUUGUUUGAGAUCUAAAAAGAACAUUGUAUAGAUUUAUAUAUUACAAGAACAUAAUGAUUAUCAUUUUCCUAUUGCAGGAAUACCAUCCUUCGAGGGUUCUAACCUGUGUUUAUCAACCAUUUUCAUACAAAGAGGCAGAAACAUAUACAAACUUUCUUUAGUCCCAUGAAUCAGUUUUGGUAGAGGACAUACUCAGAAUUUUAGUACUUACCAGCUUCUCAAACUUCCAUGCAUGCAGGUCAAAAAUGAUGCUAACCGACCAGAUAGAUUGAGGAACAAGCAAUUAUUUAUGCAAAAUAUAGAUUAUUCUCUCGACUUGUUUCUCAUAUAGAUUAUUCUCUCGACCGAAGUGUCCUUGAAAGAUGUAUGGAUGAACAAAGGACACUCUAUGAUUUUCGGCAAACAUAACAAAUCAAAGGUAAGCAAAUGUCAUGAUUACUAAACUUUUGGUAAUGUAACUUUAACUUUGGAUGGAAGCUUUCAUUUGUUAUAAUAUUUUGUUCGUGUUUUAUGAGAGGUAUUAUGAUAAAAUUCUAAAAUUGAUAUUUAAACGGACAGACUAACGAAUUGGGAAUUUGUUAACGGCUGUAUACUAAUAUGGAUUGAGCUAUUAAUGAUCUGAUGGGUAACGAGAUGACUCCAGAUCAAAAAAAUUAUUCUACUAAACGGAUCCGAUUGAUUUAGGUCCAUACACUCCGAAUAUAGUCCAUUUACAGGUAUAGCUGAGACCCCGGCCCAUCCAUCCUUUUAGUUGAUCUUUUGGUGAUGUAACACGAAAAUGAAUGAAUUCCUGCCUUGCGGAUCCAAUUAAUAUAUUCAUGACUUCAGGAAUCUUUGUGUAGAUGAACCUUUCCUGUCUUGGUUGGUAAAGAAUAUAAUAAUUAAUAGAAAACUUUUCUUCUUUGCUUCCUUUGUGGUUUUGGUGUUCGAACCAAACAGUGCUAUAAGUACGUACUUUCCACAUCUAAUUAGUUCUUAUCAUUUGGAUUCGUAAACCAUGCAGAAGAAGUCUUGAACUGCUGGUAAGUUUUUGUGAUUAGUCAUUUAUAUAUGUUUUUGUGAUUAAUCAUUUAUUCAUAUGAUAGCUAGGCUUGAUUCUUGACAUAUUAUGCUUUUUUGUAAAUUAAUUUUAUCGCAUAUAUUGAAAUGUUAAGGGAAAAUUUCAUUAUAUAUCUGUAUAUAUUAAGCGAAGCGGGGGGCAUUACUGUUCACAGAACAGUGUCCUCGCCCCUUAAGAUGGAGCCAUGUACAGCUACAAUCGAAGGCCCAAAACCCACCACGUAUAUGUCAACUUUACGUUUGUAUUCCCCGGUUUCUCACUUCCAGCUUUCCACCAUCUCUCUUUUUCUCAAUUCUACCCGAACAACUCAAGAAAAGUUUGGGCUAUUGCAAAAGUUCCUCUCUCUGCAAAAGUUCUUCGUUCUGCAAAAGUUCUUCUCUCUGGAAAACUCAUUCAGUUGGUGUGUUGGACUUUUGGUUUUCUCCUUCAUCUCUCUGUAAAAGUUCUUCUCCGGCCAUAUCCAUAUUUGGUUUUUGGUGUAGUCUCAGUUUAGCUUUGGGAUAUAACCACGCACGCGCGAAACGUGGGUUUCAAAGCUAGUAUACUUAACUAGAACCUCGAUCUAUCGCAUACGUGAUUAGUCAUUUAUAUAUGUUAAUACUUAACUAGUCGUAUGCUCGUAUGUUCUGAAUCCCAUGCAAGGCCAUGUGUGUAUAUUUUCUUAUUUUUCUUCUUUCAUUUAUACUAGCAUCUUGACCCGUAUUAUGUGCGUGUGUGAAUUUUUUAUUUUUUUGUUUUUACUAUUACAAUUAUGUUUAAAGUCUUAUUUCCCUCUACUUUUCUCUCCCCCUCCCACAUUUUAAGUUUCUUUCUUUCUGUUUUUUUUUUCUUGUUUCCAACAUUUGUAAUUAUUAAUUUAUCCUUCAUCUGUUAGAAGACAUAUUUUAAAGUUUUAAUCAAUCAAAGACAUUAUAGGUAGUUCAAAAAUUUAACCGUUGACAAAGUCAAAAAAGCCUUCUGGCUUCUGGCUUUAUUAAUAGAGAUUUGAACUUUUUUAACACAAUAAACAUUUGGUUCAGUUGAGCUCACUGUAAAUUUUAAAAACAAUUGAUGAAGAAAUUUUUGGCCAAAUCAUCUCGAAUGGUGUUGAUCGAUGAUGAAAUGAAUGCAUGCAGUGUCAGUAUUGUCAUAGUCAAGAGCGAUAUGAGCGACAACAAUGGAUCUACUUCUACUCCUCGAGAUGACACAGAAAAGGCGUCUACUCCAUUAGAAAUUUUGAUAGGAGAGAGGCUAGAACAGUUGGCUCCCCUAUCUGCUUCAUGUUCUAUUUACAGAGUUCCAGAGAGGUUAAGGAGUCUAAAUCCAAGUGUCUACACACCCAAACUAGUUUCAAUUGGCCCAUUACACCAUGGCAAUGAAACCUUACAAGACAUGGAGGAGCACAAAUACAGGUACCUACAACAAUUUCUAGAUCGCACCAAUGAAAACUUGGAGUACUAUUUACGAAAAAUAAGGUACCAAGAAGCAACAUUGCGUAGUUAUUAUGCAGAAACUAUUAAGUUUAGCAGUGAUGACUUGGUAACUAUCAUCCUUGUGGACUCUGCAUUCAUCAUUGAGCUCUUUUUGAACUACUAUUUCAAAGAAGCUUAUAGCACAGACAGGAUAAUGAGAGCACCAUAUAUGAUAAUUGACGUAAGAGCUGAUCUGCUUUUGCUUGAAAAUCAACUCCCAUUUUUCAUUCUUGAGGAUAUUUUUCCAGAAAAAGUUCAUAGAAAUUCCCGUACGCAGAAUUCUCAGAGUGAGAGGCUUUCAUUUAUUCAACUCUGCCGAACUUUCUUUAAACAAGAAUUAGAGGCAGUUGGAGUGGACUGCAAUUUGGAGAGGGUAAAUUCUUCUGAAGUAAAAGGAGCACAUUUUCUUGAUAUUAUAAGAAAUUUAUGUCUACCACCAGAACCUCUAGUUCGAGGCACACGCAACGCUGCCACCCCUAUUGCACCAAGCAUCACACAACUACACCAAGCUGGAGUCAAGUUAGAAGUGGGAUCAACCAGAAACUUAUUUGGCACACGAUUUGAUAAUGGAAUUCUGCAAAUUCCAAAAUUGCAAAUGUCUCAUCGUAUGGUGGAUACAAUGAGAAAUAUUGCUGUGUUUGAACAAUGUCAUCACUUGAAUUGCAGGAUAGCUGAUUUCCUUGACCUCAUGUAUUGUUUUGUGGACACCGCGAAGGAUGUGGAGUUGCUUGCCGAGUAUGGAAUUGUUAAAAAUUUGAUAGGUGACAACAGUGAGGCGUGUUCUCUGAUUAAAAACCUUAUCAAGGAGAUUCAUGUGAAUUCCAAUGACUUCUGCUUCACUCCUCUUUAUGAAGAUCUACACAAGCACUGCAAAAAGCCAUGGAACAAAUGGAAGGCAAAUUUGAAGCAAAAUUAUCUGUACACGCCAUGGGCACUUGUUUCUGUUCUCAUCAUACUCACUAUCAUACAAACGGUGUGUUCUGUCAUCUCUCUUUGAGAGAGUCUCAACAAUAUAUAAGUACUACCUCAAAGUGUGUAAUUGAGUGGUCUUCCAUAAGUUAUGUAUUUUCCAGUGCGAGAUGUGAAUGAAAUAAAAGUUGGUAUGCCGCAGAUCGCGUGCUAGAUUUCUUAAUCUUUCUUACUUAAUUAUAAGUUAAUUGGUUAAAAGUUCAUAAUUUCCGUUUUGUUAACUGUUUGUAUGUUUGGCUUGUAGAUACUGAGGAAGCACAUGAAAGUUUUGGUUGCAAUGUCUACAAUGACAGAUGAUAAUUAAAAAUAGAAAUUCUCCAUGGCCAAUUUUGUUUCGUUUUUGGAAAAUAAUUCGAGGAACUGCAUGAUUGAUGCAUAACUGCAUAUAAGAACCUACGUGCAUCUAUCAUUUUGCUAUCAGCCUAGCUACGUACAUCUUUGUGCUCGAAAAAUAUGGACUUCGAGUGUAACUUCAUGCUGCUGCUGAAUCAGCUCGAGCACAAUAGCAUCCCUUGCUUGCAAAUCAUUAUCUCUUGCAAAUUUUGUCCAACUGCCAUGGAUUCUUGCAUAGUCGUUUUCCCCGCACCGGCUGACGAUGCAUUUAGCACACCAAGUUCCCCCAUUUGGAAUUUGUAGGUUUACACUGCAACCUUGAAAGAUGUAUUGAUGAACAAAUAACCUCUUGGAUUUUGGGCAAACAUAACAUAUUAAAGAUAAACAAAUGUGAAGAUUACUAAAGUUUUGGUCAUGUAACUUCAACUUGCGAUGGAAAUCUUCAUUUGUUAUUAAUAUUUUGUUACUGUUUUAUGAGAGGUGAUAAAUUCAACUUUAGGAAUCUGUUAAUCGGCCGUUUACGAAUAUGAAUUAAGCUAUUAAUGAUUCGACGGGUAACGGUGACGAGAUCAGAGAAAAAAAUUUAUGUUAAACGGAUCCGUAUUUGGGUCGAUCUGCUCCAAAUCCAGUCAAUUUACAAGUCUUGCCCCGUCCCAUCCAUCCUUUUUGAUUUAUCUAUUGGUGAUGCAUGUAACACGAAAAUGAAUGAAUUCCUGCCUUGUGGAUCUCAUAUAUAACUUCAGGAAUCUGUGUAGAUGAACCUUUCUUGUCUUGGUAUAAAAAUUGAAAACUUUGCUUCUUUGCUUCCUUUGUGGUUUUGGUAUAUAUUCGAACCAUACCGUGCUAUAUAAGUACAUUCCACUUCUAAGUUCUAAUCAUUUGGAUUCGUGAACCACGCAAAGAGAGAUCCACCCUAUCAUUGCAUCAAUUAUUAAUGUGUACUAAUAUUCAGCAAAAAAAAAAAAAAAAAAAUUAACAUAAUAACUUCAACCAAAACCAAAUAUACAUAAUAAUAUCCUCACCUGUGCAGGCUUCUUUUUGCUUUUGCUUAAUGCAACUUCCAUGAUGGGUAGAUUCUCUCUUUUUGAAUCCCUUUGCAUUAGAGCAAUCAGCCAAUAUGCUCUGGUCUUGAUCUUCCACAUCUUUAUCACCACUUAUUUCUAGACGUAACACAUCUUCAACACUCUUUGCUAACUUAUCAGCUUCCAUUUAUGCAAGCUCAUAUGCCUUCUCACUCUCAGAUGCUCUUGAUGCUACUCGAACAAAUUUAGAACAUAAACUUCUAUAUCGGGAAGUUUGUUUCAGUCUUGGAUUCUCUACAAUCUGGUGCCCAUGCAUGUCUUUCACAACAUUAUCAACUCUUGCACUUUUGGUCCACCUCUCUAAGACAUAUUGCUAAGGUAUCUUUUUAAUUAGUGUAGUUUCUCUGCCUUCUAUCAUGACUUUGAUACAAUGCCUACAUGCCUACACAAGACACCCUCCAUCUCAAACAUUCUACAGCUGCAAGCUACAGUAAACUCACCUUCUCUUUUCACUAGCCGCUCUUUAGUGAAUGCAUCUCUAACAACAGUGAAGAUAAACUUUUCACCAUUGGACACACACUUCGUUAUGGAAGACUUUAAAGAGUCUUCAAACUGAGCUUGAGAUAUUUUAUAGAUCGCUUUGGUAUAAACUUCUUGUGCAUGUAUCAAGAUGCUUACCUCCAUUUUGCAGUGAACAAUUCGGAACAUCAGAUCAUACUCGGCUUCCAAUUCCUUAUACCGCUUAUCAUAUACCAUUCUUUCAAAGUGAGUAAAAAACUCAGGUAGCUGGAGGUCUGAUUUUAAAUAACCCUUCAAACUAGCAUUGAAGCUUUCACUCAGUUGUGUAUUGUGCAUUCCUGCUGACCAUGUACACUUCACAUAUGCAUGUACCUAUUUUUUUCUUAUUGCAAAUGUUGCAGCCAACCAAGUAUCAUCAUGUGCACUGUACUCAUCAAGCAUAAACUCUCAAGCACUCAAGAACUCAUUUUCUUCCUCAAUCUGAUAAAGAAAUUUGUUGAAUACAUUACCUUCCUUCUCAUCGCCAUUAGAGUUUCUAAAUAAGAAGCCUACUUUCUUUGCAGCAUUUUGCAAUAAAUGCCAUAUACAAAGUCGAUGGUACAUAUCAGGCAUCACAUGUAAAACAGCCUUGGCUAUCGUUGCAUCUUGAUCAGUAAAAGAUGUUUGGGGAGGCUUCCCACAUAUUGCCUUCAAAAAGGUUUCAAACAACCAAAUAAAGGAUGCAGCAGUCUUGUCGUACAUUAGAGCAGCUCCAAAUAUAACCGCUUCUCUGUGGUGAUUUAAUCCAACAAAGACUGCAAAUGGUCGAUUUGCUUCAUUAAGUUUGUAUGUGGUAUCAAAACUUACCACAUCUCCAAAUAUACCAUAAUCCAUUAUCAUUUUAGCAUUGGCCCAAAAAUGUUAGUGAUUUGGUCCUCACUGUCCAAUUGCAUCCCAUAAAAGAAUGAUGGAUUUUCUAACAUCUGCUUUGAAAAAUAUUCCAUCAAAUAACCAGCUUCUCCUAAUUUCAUUUUUCUUUGUCGGACAGUUCGAAGAUAGUUCUUUUGGUUUUGCCUUGUAAAACCCAAUGACUCUCUUCCACCAGCUUGCUGGCUCAUUAAUUCAAAUGCAGACUUUUGCGGUACUCCUGAAUUUGUAGUCAAGUCUAUAAAAGCAUUAUCUGUAGAUGUUACAUUUCGAUAAGAUGGUAACCAUUGCACACAGUCUUAUAUGACAAGAGGAUGAUUAUGCUCUUCAGAGAAACGGUAAACGCAAUACUUUCCUGUAUGCCUAACCAACUUAAUCCCAGGGCUGGCCCUGGGGCAAGACGGACCAGGCCUGGGUCUAAGGCCUCAAAAUUUGGGGGCCUCAAAUUUUUUUUAUAUAGGUAUGUACAAAAAAAAAAAAAAAAAAGUUAGAAUAAGAGUAGAAGACCUGGCGUCUCUUACUCUUUCUUUUCAGUUCUGCACACGUCCAAAUCAAUAUAGAAGAAGAAGAUCGCGACUCUUCAGUCUUCAGUACAAAAAAAAGAAGAAAAAGAUCGCUCUCCGAAGAAAUCAAAGAAAAAAGAAGACAAACCUCCAAAUCUUUGAUUGAAAGGAAUCAAGGAAAACAUCAAUUCUGAAGCUAAAAAGGUAUAUAUGUUCUUUUACCCUUUCAUCUCUAUUCUCUAAAGCUAUUUCCUUUCUAUUUUAAAGAAAUUGCGAUUUUCCGUUAGUCCUUACUGGCUUAGUACGAUAAUCCCUUUGAAUUGUUUGUAUAUAUUUGGACGUAUGAUAUCUAGAUAUUGAAAAACACAUACUCUUUGAUUUCGUAUUGAUGUCUAGAUUUUUGUAAAACACAGUAUUUUAUCAUGGCUCCUGGUAGAAAGUUUAAGUCUGGAGCUCAAAAAAGGAAAGAGAAAAAGAGGAUAGAAGCUGUACAUAAACCUCUAGCUAGUUGGUUCUAUUAAUAAGUAUUUAGUACCAAGAGAAAAGAAUCAAAGCAUAAUGGUGAAUGAUCAUGAUGUUAAAGAGGCAGAGAUUGAGAAAAAUAAUGAUCAUGAUGUUGAAGAGGAAGAGAUUGAGGAAAAUAGUGAUCAUGAUGUUGAAGAGGCAGAGAUUGAGGAAAAUAUUGAAGAUGUUCACACUAUAGAGCCAAAUCAGUCAGUAGGGAAAAACAAUGAUAUUAUCAAUGAAGAAAGUCAUACUGCAAAUUCAAGAGAAGAAGUUCCGUUUGACAUGGAUGAUCCAGGGAAUUGGAAUAAAACAUACCAAAAUAUUACAGAAUUUUUGGUUGAAAGAGGCACCAAAAGAGUCAAUAAUGUGAUCUUUCCGAAAGAUACAUGUGAGAGGUCUUUUUCUUUAAGGCAUUACUUCAAGGAAUUACCGAAUGGAGAGAAACGUACAAGAUAGAAAGUGGCUGGUAUAUUCGGUUUCUUUGGAUAAAGUCUUUUGCUUCUGUUAUAAAUUGUUUGCAAAGAAGCAUCUUGUGGGGCAAAUAGUUGAUGAAGACAUGAAUGAUUGACACAACUGUUCUGAUCGACUUAAAAGUCAUGAAGGAAAUAGGUAUCAUAUUGCGGCAAUGAAAAGUUGGAUAGAGUUGGCCAAAAGGUUGAAAAUAAAGUUAACAAUUGAUGCAAGUCUGCAAUCAAGAAAAAGAACACUGGAAACAAGUAUUAGAAAGAAUUUUUGCAGUUGUGGAAAGAUUUGCGAAAAAAAAUUUAGCUUUUCGUGGAGAUAAUGAAAAGCUAUAUAAGGAGAAUAAUGGUCUUUUCUUAUAGAUGAUAGAACUGCUUGCUGAAGUUGAUCCGAGUAUAAAAAAAACAUCUUGGACGUAUUAAUAAAGGUGAGGCUCAAUAUCAUUAUUUGAGUCACAAAAAUGAAAUUAUUCAAUUGUUGGCAGGUGAGGUGAAAAGCUCAAUUAUCAGCAGAAUCAAAGAAGCCAAAUAUUUUUCAGUUAUUCUUGACUGUACUCUAGAUGCAAGUAAUGAGGAACAUAUGUCUCUUGUAAUAAGAAUUGUCAAUGUUUCGGCUACUCCAGUUGUGGUUGAAGAAUAUUUUUUAGGUUUGUUGAAGGUAGCUAACACAUCAGGUCUUGGACUACUUAAUGAACUUCUAAGUGAAUUGAAGACUCUUGAACUUGAUGCAAGUGAUAUAAGAGGACAAGGGUAUGACAAUGGAUCCAACAUGAAAGGUAAAAAUAAAGGUGUGCAAAGUAGACUACUUGAAAUAAAUCCAAGAGCAUUUUACACACCUUGUGCUUGUCAUUCUCUAAACCUUGUGCUUUCUGAUAUGGCUCAUUAUUGUCCCAUAGCUGAGUCUUUCUUUGGUGUAGUGCAACGAUUAUACUGUUUGUUUGCAGCUUCUACAAAAAGAUGGCAGGUUUUUAAAGAGCAUGUGACAGUUCUCACUUUAAAACCAUUAUCAGAAACUUGUUGGAAAAGCCGUGUGGAGAGUAUUAAAGCAAUAAGGUAUCAAACUCCAGAAAUAAGACAAGCUUUGAUGCAUAUUGUGAACAACAAAAAAGAAGAUGCCAAGGCAAAAAGUGAUGCUGAUGCUGAUGCUUUAGCAAAAUAUAAUCUUCAGAAUUUUGAGUUCUUGUUGGGAAUGUUUAUAUGGUAUGAGUUGUUAUAUGCGGUUAACAAUGUCAGCAAAGUUCUGCAAACUGAAGAUACGCAUAUUGAUAUAGCCAUCAAAGAAUUGGAACGUCUUCUUUCUUUGCUUCAAAAGUUCAGAGAAACUGGGUUUGAGGAGUCUUUGAUUGAAGCUAAAAAGAUUGCAAGUGAGAUGGAGAUUGAACCGAUAUUCAUGGAAAAACAGACAAUUCACACAAAAAGACAAUUUGAUGAAAGCUCUACUGAAGCAGUGAUACAAUCAGCUACAGAAUCAUUCAAAACCAACUACUUUCUCUACAUAGUUGAUCAAGCUAUUUCUUCAUUCAAAACCAGGUUAGAACUAUAUACAUUAUAUUUAAUUUUUAGUUAAGGAGCAUGAUAUUUAUAUAAGUUAUUGAUUUUUAUUUUUUUUUAAACCAGGUUUGAACAAUUUAAGAAAUAUGAAGAAAAUUUUGGACUUUUGUUUGAUUUGGUUAAGUUAAGGUCUGCUGAUAGAGAUACAUUGAAUAGCUUUUGUGCUAACCUCACAAAUAUAUUGAAGCAUGGCGAGAUUUCUGAUCUUAAUGAGGAUGAUUUAUUCCAUGACUUGCGAAUGUUGUAUCAAGAUUUACCCAUUGAAACAAAAAGAGCAAUAGAUGUGUUGAAUAUUAUAUAUAAAAGAUGUGGAUGGCUGCUAUCCACAUGCUUCGAUUGCUUAUAGGAUUCUGCUAACCAUACCAGUCAUAGUUGCCUCUGCAGAAAGAAGUUUUUCAAAGUUGAAAUUGAUCAAAACUUACCUUCGGUCUACUAUGUCACAAGAAAGAUUGAGUGGUUUGGCUAUGAUAUCUAUAGAAAAAGACAUAGUUGAAAAACUUGAUUAUGCAAAUUUGAUUAGUACCUUUGCAUCUAAAAAUGAAAGACGAGCUAUAUUUCAGUAAUAGUUUUAUAUUGUGGUAUGAUUUUUUGUAAUAUUUUGAGUUUUAUUUUAUUUUAUAUUUUUUUUGGGGGCCUCAAAUAUAUUCUCACCUUGGGCCUUUAUGGACAUAGGGUCGGCCCUAUUUAAUCCCCAUAAUCGCUCCACAUUCUUGUCUGUGCUCUUGGAUUUUUUGUCAAAUCGUCUCUCUUAUCUUCUUUUCGAAAACCUUCCUUACAACAUACAAAAGUCCUUGAAGUGAGUACACUUUUUUUAUCCUUGCCAUAACCGUCUCUUCUAAUGCUAAAGCCUUCACUGCGAGCAUAUGCAUUAUAAAAGUUGAAUGCAGCAAUCUUAGAAUCAAACUCCAUAUAAUAUUUAGGUUUCAAAUCUUUUUUUGAUUUCUCCAAACUAUUGUUGUUUUCUCCCACAGACUUUUCCACUCUUAAAACCUAUAUUCAACAAUCACAAGAACAUACACAAAAGUGAGAUUCAAUCUCAAAAUUAUAAUUCAAAUAGAAUAAACACAAGCCAACAGCCAAUCCAAUUUACAGUGCACCAGAAACAAUCCAACUUCAAUCCUUAGAAUUCAAAUGGAAGAAAACCCAGUAGCAGAAAUCACAUAAACCAUAAUUCAAAUGGAAGAAAAACAAGCCAAACUAAAACCCAAGUUGGAGAUCGAACCUCAAACCCAGUAGUGAAAAGUUGGAAGCUUGGGAUAUGGUGGAGGACGUCGUGGAGAGAGAGAGGACGUGGAGGACGUCGCUGGCGUAACCAGAGGACGUGGAGAACGUGAAAAUAAAAGGCUGAGAUUGAUUCAUGAGAAAAUAAGAGGAGCCUCUCAUGAGGAGAAGAUCCAGAUUCUUUGCGCAUCUCCCUCAAAAUUGAAAACCACAUCCAGAUCUCUUUCCCUUUCUCCUUCGACUGCCAAAUCCCCCUCUUUAAAUUUGCCGCCCCAUGCCCCCAUUCUUUGACCACCUCCGUCUCCUCGACAUCCAACGCUAACCAUGACCAGAUCCACUCCACGUCAUCUUCAUCUCCCUCCAUGGUCAAUUUCUUCGACCAACAAGUUUGAUGGCGCUGGUCGUCAAAAAUUUGAGAAGGCGAUGAGAGAGAAAACUAAAUUCUCAGUUAUUCUGAUCUUGUCGAUAUAGAUCUUGUUUGAUGGGUGUUUAGGGUGCCAAAUCGAGUAGGAAAGGGUCGUGGCUUCGUUGUCGGGUUCAUGUAGUGGUAAUAUAUUGGAGUCGGUUGCUGUGUUGGAAUUGAUUCAUCAGGUUUAGUGUUGGGUCGUUGACAGAGGACAAAGAGGUGGUUGCUGAGCAAGAGAACCGAUUAAUGGGUCUGAAUGAAAUGGACAUGGGGAAAAUUUGGAGAAGAUGACCAGUAAAGCUAUCAAUGCUUUGAUUGUUCUGGGGUUUGGGACCUUUGCUGUGUCUAAGCUGCUCACGAUUGACACAUGUAUGUUUUCCUGUUUUAGAUUAUGUUCUUGGUUUUUAUAUUUUGGAUUUGAUGCUCAUACGCAAGUAAGCUGCAGAGAUUUUAAUUGGGUUUGUGUUUGCAGUAGUGAGCUUUGAAAUGGGUAAUGAUGUUAUGAAAUUGUACUUGGUUUAAGCCAGUUUAGAGUUGUUUAGGUUGGAUGACUGCUAGUAUAAUGAUUGUGCUGAGGAAUGUCUUAAUUUGUUCAUGAUUGGUUUCAAGUUCUAAGUUGUCUUGCUGAACUUAGUUGAUCUUGAAUCCGUGGUUGAUUUCAAUAUACUGUUAAGUAUCUGCAGGGUUCAGAACUUAAUGCUGAGAGCUGAAUCAAUAUCCAGUUCUUUCCUCAUUGAUAAAAGCAUUUAGGCCCCAAUAAAAGUGUUCAACCAUACACUUAGGGGCUCCUAAUUUCAAUAUACUGUUAAGUAUCUGCAGGGUUCAGAACUUAAUGGUGAGAGCUGAAUCAAUAUCCAGUUCUUUCCUCAUUGAUAAAAGCAUUUAGGCCCCGAUAAAAGCGAUCAACCAUAAUUACACUUAGGCGCUCCUAAAGGGAGCCUAACCACUAGAGAGUCAAUUUAACCAAAAAAAUUCAUGGGAUCCUAAAUCUCAUAUAUACGAGCUUCUUGUUCGAAAACGGGGAAAAAUAGGAUCUCGCACGAUAUCAGUCAACCGCGUUUCGUGUAAAAAACAAGGUAUAUUUAAGGUUGACCGAUUCGAUGGGGAGCGUAACAAAUCCGAAACGGGGUGGAUUUUUUUCAGUAGACCUAUUUAAUUACCAUGCCUACAUCAGACGGUAAAAUUUGUAUUUUCAUGUAUUUAUGACCUUGGAUCGUCACGUGUCUACUAAUCCCUAUAACUUGUUUAAUAAAUUAUAUUCAAGUGUAUAUCAUUGCCAAUUAUACAGUUAAAACAAAAUUUUCAAAAAUCUUGUGAAAUAGGAUGUGAUCGAAAUAGUCGAAUACAACUAAAGAUGUAAAAUCACAAACUUCCGGUAAAGUUUAGGUCUCAAUAAAAGCGGUCAACCCCUAAUUACGUUUAGGCGUUCCUAAGGGGAGCCUAACCACCGGAGGGUCAAUUAACAAAAAAAAAUUCAUGGGAUCCUAAAUCUCAUAUAUAUGAGCUUCUUGUUCGAAAACGGGGAAAAAUAAGAUCUCGCACGUUGUCGGUCAAUCGCGUUUCGUGUAAAAAACGAGGUAUAUUUAAGGUUGACCGAUUCGAUGGGGGCGUAACAAAUCCGAAACAGGGUGGAUUUUUUUCAGUAGACCUAUUUAUUUACCAAGCCUACAUCAAACGGUGGAAUUUUUAUUUUCACAUAAUUAUGACCUCGGAUCGCAGCGUGCCUACUAAAACGGUAUAACUUGUUUAGUAGGUUAUAUUCAAGUGUAUAUCAUUGUGAACCAACUCUACAGACAAAACAAAAUUUUCGAAAAUCUUGUGAAAUAAGAUGUGAUCAAAAUAGUGAAAAACGGCUAAAGAUGAAAAAUCACAAACUUCCGGUGAUGUUUAGGCCCCGAUAAAAACAGUCAACCCUAAUUACGCUUAGGCGUUCCUAAGAGGAGCCUAACUACCGGAGAGUCAAUUUAAUAAAAAAAAUUCAUGGGAUCCUAAAUCUCAUAUAUACGAGCUUCUUGUUCGAAAACGAGGAAAAAUAAGAUCUCGCACGAUGUCGGUAAACCGUGUUUCGUGUAAAAAAAGAGGUAUAUUUAAGGUUGACCGAUUCGAUGGGGGGCGUAAAUAAUCCAAAACGGGGUGAAUUUUUUUCAGUAGACCUAUUUAAUUACCAUGCCUACAUUAGACGGUGAAAUUUUUAUUUUUAUGUAAUUAUGAUCUCGGAUCGCAGCGUGACUACUAAAACGGUGUAACUUGUUUAAUAUGUUAUAUUCAAGUGUAAUAAGAUGAGAUCCUAAAUCUCAUAUAUACGAGUUUUUUGUUCGAAAACAAAGAAAAAUAAGAUCUCGCACAAUGUCGGUCAACCAUGUUUCGUGUAAAAAACGAGGUAUAUUUAAGGUUGACCGAUUCGAUAAGAGGUGUAUUAAAUCCGAAACGUUUUUAAAUUCUAAAAAUCAUAAGAAUUAAGAGACGCACUAUCUACCCUUAUAAAAUAAUUUUUUUAUGUGUGAUUCAACUCGCUCGUAAACUAAUUUAAUUAUAUACAUCGACGUGACAUAACUAACUCUACUGACCCAUACCCUAUUUGUCAUGCAUGAUCCCCUGCAAUACACAUACCCAUCUACCUUGGCUUUUUUUGACUAAACACCUCUACAAGCUAGCUUCACCACUGUCAAACCUGUACCAAUUAAUUCUGUUUUUAUUUAUAUAAUUUUUUUUACGUAUUAUAUGAACACGACGACCUAUUUCAUCAACAUGGCACGACGAUCAAUGAAGACUUUUCUCCCAAUGGCGGAUCCAGGAUUUAGAACAAGCUGAGUGGGCUUGAAAUUGUUUCUCUUCAAAUCGAUUACCUAUCAAUUUUUAGCUAACUACAAUAUGUAUCUAAAACUACGAUUUAAUUGAUUAUUAAACAAAAAAAUAAUCCUUUACCGUGAAAAAUAGUAAAAUAACGACUUGCAAUAGUUAUAAACACGCGGCUACAAAAAAUACUUUUUUUGAGCUUGGUAUGUAUCGGGAGAAUUACAAGAAAAAAAAAAAAAAAAAA
rnacentral:lncRNA from 1 species